UUUUACCACUAAACUAUACCCGC
rnacentral:tRNA from 146 species